rnacentral:ncRNA from 1 species
AACAACCGUGAUUCCGGGAGUAGUGGCGAGCGAAACUGGAUGAGGCUAAACCGUAUACGUGUGAGACCCGGCAGGGGUUGCGUAUGCGGGGUUGUGGGAUCUCUCUUCUGUUGUCUGCCGGCAACAGGACGAGUCAGAAACCGUUGAUGUAGGCGAAGGACAUGCGAAAGGUCCGGCGUAGAGGGUAAGACCCCCGUAGUCGAAACGUCAGCGGCUCGUUUGAGAGACACCCAAGUAGCACGGGGCCCGAGAAAUCCCGUGUGAAUCUGGCGGGACCACCCGCUAAGCCUAAAUAUUCCCUGGUGACCGAUAGCGGAUAGUACCGUGA